GCCCGGAUGGCGGAAUUGGUAGACGCACUGGACUCAAAAUCCAGCGCCUGCAAAGGCGUGCGGGUUCGACCCCCGCUCCGGGUACAA
rnacentral:tRNA from 1 species